AACAUCUGAGAGCUGUGAAGUUUGGGGAAAGGAGAAUGUUAACAUCUGCUGGCUGCUCCUUACCGAAGACCCCAGCACACAGGAUGAGGUCCUCUCUCCACAGGGCUAACAGUGCUCGUCUUCACUGGGAAGUUAGGAAACGAAGCCACUGGCUGGUUCUGCAGCUUUUUGGUCACUUUCAGCAGUGAAGACAGACGACUGCCAGUACCUUCACCUGCCUGUCCUCAUCAUGCCCUCAUGACCCCUGGCCUUGCUUAAGGCUUAUCCAUCAGGGUCCUGUCUUCAGAAAUCAGGGGGAGAAGUAGGCUCUGGUCUUUGUUUUUUGAAGUUUCCAAACUCUAAUGUAGGUGUUUUGAGAAUUUUCUUUCUGUGUCCCUCCACAGCGGAAUGGUCAAGUUUUGUGGCUCAGGUACCAGCAGUUCAGGAGAUAAGAUGCUGUAUUGGUUACCUCUUGUUACAAUCAGGCUUCAUAACAGCUAUCCCAAAACUCAGAGGUCUGAAUGAUGAAUGAUGUCCUUUCCCACAAAUCUGUCUGUCUGUGAUCAGCUGAGCAGCUCAGCUUCAGGCCAUAGCAGCGGAAGAGCCAGCUGAUUGAGCUGGAUGGGUCCAGGUUCACUGGGCUGUUCUGGUCCAUACAUCUCUUUCCCCUGCGGCUAGAGGGCCAUUUGGGGCGUAUUCAUGUCAGGAUGCUAACAGAGGCACCAGUGGACAUCUGCAGGCAUUGUGCCUCCAUAUAACUUUAUUCAAAAGUGUAAAAGGAACAAGGAUUCUCCUUGAGCACCUCUUUCCUUUCAGCUGUGUGGAUACUCUUUCUCCUGAGUGCUCAGCAGAUUUCCUUCUCCAUCUCACCUACCAGAACUGGGUGCUAUGGCCAUCCCUGGGUAAAUCUCUGGAAAUGGGAAAGAGAUGAGUGUGAUGGGCUUCAAAAAAUGCUUGUUGAGUGAAUGUUUAAAUAAAAUGAGCAAUUUCUCUCUUU